GCACAGUUGGCGUAGUGGUCAACGCGUCCGCCGCCUUAUGCGGGUUGAAAUCCCCGCCGAAUCACUUUCAAAGACCAACAGGGGAUUUGGGGGGUAGCCUUCGGGAAAAGGAAAGGUGGAAGACCCAGGUUCGAGUCCUGGACUGUGCA